AGAACGAACGCUGGCGGCGUGGAUAAGACAUGCAAGUCGAGCGGGAUUUCCUUUAGUAGCAAUACCGAAGGAAGUCUAGCGGCGAACGGGUGCUUAACACGUGGGCAACCUGCCAAGAAGUGGGGGAUAGCUCGCCGAAAGGCGAAUUAAUACCGCAUGUGAUUAGAGUGGACAUCCAUUCGAAAUUAAAGUCGGGGCAACCUGACGCUUUUUGUGGGGCCCGCGGCCUAUCAGCUAGUUGGUGAGGUAACGGCCCACCAAGGCUUUGACGGGUAGCUGGUCUGAGAGGACGACCAGCCACACUGGGACUGAGACACGGCCCAGACACCUACGGGUGGCAGCAGUCGAGAAUUUUUUCUCAAUGGGGGAAACCCUGAAGGAGCGACGCCGCGUGGAGGAUGAAGGUCUUCUGAGUUGUAAACUCCUUUCAGCAGGGACGAUUGUAACGGUACUGCAGAAGAGCACCGGCCAACUACGCGCCAGCAGCCGCGGU
rnacentral:rRNA from 1 species